rnacentral:tRNA from 1 species
UAUUAGAAAGCGAAUUAUUGCACUUAGUUUCGACCUAAAUUUUGGCCAAACAGGCCUCUAAUUU